rnacentral:rRNA from 1 species
CCUACGGUAGGCAGCAGUGGGGAAUAUUGCGCAAUGGGCGAAAGCCUGACGCAGCGACGCCGCGUGAGGGAUGAAGGUCUUCGGAUCGUAAACCUCUGUCAGCAGGGAAGAACGGUCACUGUGCUAAUCAGCAGUGAAUUGACGGUACCUGCAAAGGAAGCACCGGCUAACUCCGUGCCAGCAGCCGCGGUAAAACGGGGGGUGCGAGCGUUAAUCGGAAUUACUGGGCGUAAAGCGCUCGUAGGGGGGAUGUCAAGUCAAGGGUGAAAUCCCCGCGCUCAACGUGGGAACUGCCGUUGAAACUGGGAAACUUGAGUGUGUGAGAAGAUAGUGGAAUUCCAGGUGUAGGAGUGAAAUCCGUAGAUAUCAGGAGGAACAUCAGUGGCGAAGGCGACUAUCUGGCACAUAACUGACGCUGAGGAGCGAAAGCGUGGGUAGCAAACAGGAUUAGAUACCCCUGUAGUC